rnacentral:lncRNA from 1 species
CAGGGGCUUCUAGAGAAAAAAUAAUGAGGGGUGUCACGGGGUAUGACUAUAUAGGUCUUGUAGAAGAGAAACAGGCGCUUCUUUUGCGCAAGGUAUCGAAGGGCGCUAUGUUCAAAAAUCUGAAACUAGAGCUCAAAAAUUUGAAAAAAAUGGUAAAAAAAGGGGGUCGGCCUAUUCCAGGGCUUCUAGAGAAAAAUAAUGAGGGGUGUCACGGGGUAUGACUAUAUAGGUCUUGUAGAAGAGAAACAGGCGCUUCUUUUGCGCAAGGUAUCGAAGGGCGCUAUGUUCAAAAAUCUGAAACUAGAGCUCAAAAUUUGAAAAAAAUGGUAAAAAACAGGGGGUCGGCCUAUUCCAGGGCUUCUAGAGAAAAAUAAUGAGGGGUGUCACGGGGUAUGACUAUAUAGGUCUUGUAGAAGAAGAAACAGGCGCUUCUUUUGCGCAAGGUAUCGAAGGGCGCUAUGUUCAAAAAUCUGAAACUAGAGCCCAAAAUUUGAAAAAAAAUGGUAAAAAAAUAGGGGGCAGCCCUAUUCCAGGGCUUCUAGAGAAAAAUAAUGAGGGGUGUCACGGGGUAUGACUAUAUAGGUCUUGUAGAAGGAGAAACAGGCGCUUCUUUUGCGCAAGGUAUCAAAGGGCGCUAUGUUCAAAAAUCUGAAACUAGAGCUCAAAAUUUGAAAAAAAUGGUAAAAAACAGGGGGGUCGGCCUAUUCCAGGGCUUCUAGAGAAAAAUAAUGAGGGGUGUCACGGGGUAUGAUGACUAUAUAGGUCUUGUAGAAAAGAAACAGGCGCUUCUUUUGCGCAAGGUAUCAAAGGGCGCUAUGUUCAAAAAUCUGAAACUAGAGCUCAAAAUUUGAAAAAAAAAAUGGUAAAAAACAGGGGGUCGGCCUAUUCCAGGGCUUCUAGAGAAAAAUAAUGAGGGGUGUCACGGGGUAUGACUAUAUAGGUCUUGUAGAAGAGAAACAGGCGCUUCUUUUGCGCAAGGUAUCGAAAGGGCGCUAUGUUCAAAAAUCUGAAACUAGAGCUCAAAAUUUGAAAAAAAUGGUAAAAAAUAGGGGGGUCGGCCUAUUCCAGGGCUUCUAGAGAAAAAUAAUGAGGGUUGUCACGGGGUAUGACUAUAUAGGUCUUGUAGAAGAGAAACAGGCGCUUCUUUUGCGCAAGGUAUCGAAGGGCGCUAUGUUCAAAAAUCUGAAACUAGAGCUCAAAAUUUGAAAAAAAUGGUCAAAAAAUAGGGGGUCGGCCUAUUCCAGGGCUUCUAGAGAAAAAUAAUGAGGGUGUCACGGGGUAUGACUAUAUAGGUCUUGUAGAGGAGAAACAGGCGCUUCUUUUGCGCAAGGUAUCGAAGGGCGCUAUGUUCAAAAAUCUGAAACUAGAGCUCCAAAAUUUGAAAAAAAUGGUAAAAAAGGGGGUCGGCCUAUUCCAGGGGCUUCUAGAGAAAAAUAAUGAGGGUGUCACGGGGUAUGACUAUAUAGGUCUUGUAGAGAGAAAACAGGCGCUCUCUUUUGCGCAAGGUAUCGAAGGGCGCUAUGUUCAAAAAUCUGAAACUAGAGCCCAAAAUUUGAAAAAAAUGGUAAAAAAUAGGGGGUCGGCCUAUUCCAGGGCUCUAGAGAAAAAUAAUGAGGGGUGUCACGGGGUAUGACUAUAUAGGUCUUGUAGAAAGAGAAACAGGCGCUUCUUUUGCGCAAGGUAUCGAAGGGCGCUAUGUUCAAAAAAUCUGAAACUAGAGCUCAAAAUUUGAAAAAAAUGGUCAAAAAAGGGGGUCGGCCUAUUCCAGGGCUUCUAGAGAAAAAAUAAUGAGGGGUGUCACGGGGUAUGACUAUAUAGGUCUUGUAGAAGGAGAAACAGGCGCUUCUUUUGCGCAAGGUAUCGAAGGGCGCUAUGUUCAAAAAUCUGAAACUAGAGCCCAAAAUUUGAAAAAAAUGGUAAAAAAAUAGGGGGGUCGGCCUAUUCCAGGGCUUCUAGAGAAAAAUAAUGAGGGGUGUCACGGGUAUAUGACUAUAUAGGUCUUGUAGAGGAGAAACAGGCGCUUCUUUUGCGCAAGGUAUCGAAGGGCGCUAUGUUCAAAAAUCUGAAACUAGAGCUCAAAAAUUUGAAAAAAAUGGUAAAAAAGGGGGGUCGGCCUAUUCCAGGGCUUCUAGAGAAAAAUAAUGAGGGGUGUCACGGGGUAUGACUAUAUAGGUCUUGUAGAAGAGAAACAGGCGCUUCUUUUGCGCAAGGUAUCGAAGGGCGCUAUGUUCAAAAAUCUGAAACUAGAGCCCAAAAUUUGAAAAAAAUGGUAAAAAAGUAGGGGGGGCCUAUUCGGGGCUUCCAGAGAAAAAUAAUGAGGGGUGACAAGGGGUAUGACUAUAUAGGUUUUGUAGAGGACAAACAGGUUCAAAAAUCUAAAACUAGAGCUAAAAAUUUGAAAAAAAAUGGUAAAAAACAGGGGGUCGGCCUAUUCCGGGGCUUCUAGAGAAAAAAAUGAGGGGUGUCACGGGUAUGACUAUAUAGGUCUUGUAGAAGAGAAACAGGCGCUUCUUUUGCGCAAGGUAUCGAAAGGGCGCUAUGUUCAAAAAUCUGAAACUAGAGCUCAAAAUUUGAAAAAAAUGGAAAAAAAACAGGGGGGUUUGCCUAUUCCGGGGCUUCUAGAGAAAAAUAAUAAGGGGUGUCACGGGGUAUGACAAUAUAGGUCUUGUAGGAGAGAAAGAGGCGCUUCUUUUUCACAAGGUAUCGAAGGCGCUAUAUUCAAAAAUCUGAAACUAGAGCUCAAAAUUUGAAAAAAAAUGGUAAAAAAAGGGGGUCGCCCUUAUCCGGGCUUCUAGAGAAAAAUAAAUGAGGGGUGUCACGGGGUAUGACUAUAUAGGUCUUGUAGAAGAGAAACAGGCGCUUCUUUUGCGCAAGGUAUCGAAGGGCGCUAUGUUCAAAAAUCUGAAAAUAGAGCAAAAUUUGAAAAAAAAUGGUAAAAAAAUAGGAGUCGGCCUAUUCCAGGGCUUCUAGAGAAAAAUAAUGAUGAAUGUCACGGGGUAUGACUAUAUAGGUCUUGUAGGAGA